GCGCCCGUAGCUCAAGUGGAUAGAGUAACUGGCUUCGAACCAGUUGGUUGGGGGUUCGAGUCCCUCCGGGCGUA
rnacentral:tRNA from 1 species